ACAAACCAGUUUUGUAAAAAAACGCGUAAAAUGCGUCAUAUGACGUACGAAAACCAAGGUUUGUCGACAAACCUUCUUUGUGAAUUCGGGCCUAUGUUUCUUAAAGCCAUUGGAUACAUAAUCUGUUCUCCUGGGGUAUGCUUAGAGCGAAACCUCAUAAUAAAAUAAAAUGUGAACACGGGCACCUUUCAAAAGUGGUCCCUUCUAUUUGUAGAUAACCACGUUUCAAAGGGAGGGUUUUUAAAAGGAAAUAACGUAGAUGUAGUGGUUUUAAUGAAGUGUACAGUGUAAAUAUAAAAUAACCGUAACCUCGAUUUUGUAUUCAACAGUUGACUGAGGGAAAACGAUCGGACGUUUUAACUUGUUUCCCUCGAUGAGAAGAGGGAUAAUAUCGUUCCGUUUUAUAACCGUGUGUGCAUUUUACCCUACUAUACGAUGAUAAUCAUUAUCUUGUGAGGAUAUUUUCCAUAUUGUUGUGUGCCUGUUUUUCGAAGGCUCAUUUUGUGCAGACGAAAUCAUAAUAGGCGUCAAAUAUUUUACUUUCAACAAUUUUUAGAAAGGAUGUUGUUUAGAUAUUUAAGACUCAUUCGUCGUAAAUUAUUGAAAUAUUUUCGGAGAAUUAUUACCAAAGCGGUAUGUAAUAUAAAAGAGGAUGCAUUUUUAAGGACUUUGUCAUUUUAAACAAGUUAUAUUGGUUAGAUAUAGCCAAAGUAUACAGUGAAUUACUAUUUAUUUAUAUGUAUUAUUUAAAGAAACAGAUUGAAUGUCUGCGGCAAUACAUUUUGCAGCUUUGCGUAUAUACAUUUAUCAAAUGAUUACAAAUAUGAAUUAUAUUCAAGUGGUAUUAUAUCUAGAUUAUAUUUUGAGCUGACUCAGUCAUCUUUAAAAGGCUUUGUGAAAAAUACAUUUCAGAAAAUAUUGAAUCAUUUUAUUCAUACCAAGUAGAGUAGUUAACUAAAUAUCGCAGUAAUUAUGAUAUACAAAGUAAUUUUGUCAUACUCUAGAUUACACUUUUUAAAGCUACUUACUUCCAGUCAUGUGUGUUUAGAUUUGGUAAGAGAUGAAAUAGAGGCCAAAUGACGAAAGCAAUUUUCACUGACCUCAAAUGCUUAGUACUUCAUUUCAUACGACACAAAACAUUUCCAGUCGUUGUGAUGAACUAGUAAGAAAGAAAAAAAAGGGAUACUUAAUUCGUAAGGAAGCAAAGCGUCUUGGGUUGUUUUGAUUUCUUGCUCGGUUGUCAACUAGUCAAGAAAACAAAAGUAUACAAGAGAAAAUGUCUUGAUCAUCAAAUACAACCCGAGCUCCUACAGUUCUCUAAUUAUAUGUCAUUUAUAUGCAUAAAUAGAUAAUUCAGUCGUAUAGUUGAUGUCCUAAGGGUUACUAUGAUAUCAGAUGGAAUAUAAAUUCAGUUAGAAAUGCUUCUUUCAAUGUAAUUGUUUGAUAAAAUUCCAUCAUCAUGACCUUUAGUGUUCACGUCCUACCUUCAAUAUACUAAAACGUUGCUUAGUUAAGAAUGUUUAAACUUAUUAUGGUAAAGUCAUUUUUAUUACAAAAGUAAAGACGACGUUGUAAUUGUAAUUGCAGAUGUAAUGUAUGAAAUGGUAACAUUUUUAGAUAAAAGGCAAUUUCAUAUUUUCUUUAUUAUGAUUAAUAUAGCGUUCAUCAUUUCAAUGCUAAAUUUUGCUUUUAAAAUGGCAAUAUCUAAACAAAAGAUUACAUAGUUUAAUUUAUAACGAGUUAUGCAGAUCUCUGUUUCAGAUAUAAUAUAUAGUUAUUUAACAGUAUAAUAUAAUGUGACGUAAUAUAGGUGCAUUAUGAUAAUUUUUUUUUUUUUACAAGUGUGUUGCUUUUGACAAUUCAAGCAAAUCAUGUGGCUAACUUGACAGAACUUAACUUCGACGAUCUUAUUUUUAUUAUCUUCAUAUCUAGUGGCAUCAAAUCUUAACCUAAAACCAAUCGAAUCGAAAUAACUAAAGUAAAAAUUUAAAGUAAAAAUUUAUUUCCAGUAAUUUAAAAGUAGUUUGGCUGACGACUUGAAAGAACAUGGUUUUCAUGGUAUUAUUUAAUUCAUUUCAAUUCAUUCGUUUUCUUUAUAUUACCAUUGUAAAAAGUAUAAAUCAUAACAUAUCAUUUGGCAGCGCUCCGAUAAUAUUUUGAAAUUUUAUAUCUCGAUUUUCUUUUAAGGUCUGCAAGUUAAUCUAUUUUUUUGUUUUAAUUCAUUCAGCGCGUUAUAUUCCAGCCAGUCGAACCAUUUUAAAUUUGAUAUAAUUAUGACAUGCAGAGUAUAGAAGUAUCACUAUUAAGUAUGUUUAAAUCAUUACGUUUGAAGGUAAUAUUUAACACUAUAUAUGGCCGUUGAGGUAGUUUAUAUGUUUACUAGAAUGUGCUGAAAUAAAAGAUAGGGAUCCUCGAAGAUAGAAGGGAAAUGAAUGACGUUUGAUGAAUGAAAAUAUUUAGUGAUUAACAAAACUUUCAAAGUAACAAAACUCUCUUAAAUCGUGUAGGGCUGAUUGUAGUGGAUCAAUGCGAAAGUAAUUCCAAAUCAUUGUCACUACCCUGAUGACCUUUCAUCCUGCAACCUUUAGUCUGAUGCUUCAACACUAGUUACACAGUAAGUUUGAGCAAUUAUAUAUCAACCCUUUUCUGAGUGAUAUGAUUAGAGUUUAUACUUACUUAUACCAGCUUAUACCAAUCUCAAGAAAGAGGAUCAUAUUAGCCCAUGUAUUAUCUGCAAAGCUAACAAAGACUUUAAUAAGUUGUUAUGCGUUACUUGUGUUCAGUGAUAAAUUCAAUAUUUAUGCAUAUUAUAUUUGAAAAUGUGUACUUUUGAAAUGUUCUGAAUGGAAUUUAUGUAUCAUUCUGCCGUACCAUUUUUUCAGAGUUUUUCUCAGCUCAUAGGAUUUGAAGUGUCUCUCGUGUAAUUCAAAUAUUACCAUUCCAUGCAAUUAAUAGCAUGUGUACUUGCUAUUACAUGUUGCGUAACAGCUGGUAUUUAAAAGGCAGUGGCGUAGCAAGCAUGCAGACAUUAUGGGGGCCUGGCGUCAUUGGUUGCUGGGUGGGGAUCAUUGGUUGCUGGGUGGGGACCAUUGGUUGCUGGGUGGGGAUCAUUGGUUGCUGGGUGGGGAUCAUUGGUUGCUAGGUGAAUGAAAUAUUAAUUACCGAGGCCACCAAUUGGGGGAUAUUGAGGGUGUGCUUUUUUUCCCUUUUGUUCUGUAUUCUAUUAAAGGGCACAUGCCCCCACGGCUACGCCACUGUCUUCGGGUAUCACCAAAUGUUGUUGACACAAAGAUUUGUGUGUGGACGGAGUUCUGAAUUUAUGUGAUUGUUUUUAGUUCUAUCAAAACUUUCAUGAUAACAUUGGUUUAUAUUGCUUCAGACAUUUAAGUAUUUAAACUAUAUUGCUGAAACAUGCCUCCUCUCUUUCUUUAUCUAAAGAUCUCUCUCUCUCUCUCUCUCUCUCUCUCUUUCUCUUCUCUUUUUUUCCUUUCUCUCUUCCAUUUCUUUCUUUUCUCUCUAUAUCUCUUUCUCUUUCUCCCUCAUCUCAUCUCCCCUCUUAUGUUCUCAUACCAAUUGUCUUUGUUUAUAACCCAUCCUUCCUGAUCUUGUUCUUCAAAUUUGAUUGAUUUAUAAACAAAUUAAUCAAUCAAAUCAUGCUUUUUAAGAUGAUGUAACAGAAACAAGAAAAAUAGACACAAAUUAUGUAGAGCAUGGUAUAAACGAUUUAUAUUCUUUUAAACUGUGAAAUCUUCUUGAAUUUAUCACUUUUCUUAAGAUUUACAAAAAAAAACUAACACUUUCAAAUUAUACAUAAAAUAACAUCCAGAUUUAGUGUUACAAAUACAGAGUAACUAGUCAAUGUAACCAUGAAUAAAUUGUAAAAGAGAAGAAAAAAAAAACUCUUGCAUAAUUUAAGCACACAACUAUAGUAUUCAAGAUAAAAUAUAAUAAAAUAUUUUAAAAGUUGGUAGGAAAUACAGGUUAAAUUGGUUACUUUCAAUUUUGAAGAACUUUUUAUAUAUAUUUCUCUUACUACUCUCAUAGGCUGAAGUUUACAAUAAUUGACUUACUUUAGAACUCGUUUCAGAUAUAAGCUUUUAUCAAAUACAAGAAAUUCACUCUCCAUCUCAUAAAACAUUAAAAAAAACAUAAAAACACCUAUUCUCAAGUAAAAUUCUAUAUUUGAACUAUACAAACGUUAAUAGUUUCAAUAAAAGUUAACCUAUUCGAUUCAUUACCCUCUGCAAGAAGUCAUUAAAUUAUUGUUUAAUUAAUUAUUACAGACCAUGUUAUGGUUAAA